rnacentral:misc_RNA from 1 species
UACGUAGGUGGCAAGCGUUGUCCGGAUUUACUGGGCGUAAAGAGCGCGCAGGCGGCUGGUCAAGUCCGAUGUGAAAGCUCCCGGUUUAGCUGGGAAACGGCAUCGGAAACUGAUCGGCUUGAAGGUGGGAGAGGGUAGUGGAAUUCCCGGUGUAGUGGUGAAAUGCGUAGAUAUCGGGAGGAACACCAGUGGCGAAGGCGACUACCUGGCCCACUCUUGACGCUGAGGCGCGAAAGCUAGGGGAGCGAACGGG